AAGAUCUGACACAAACACGGCCUGGGUAUGACUCUCACCCAGUACCAGAGCUGCUGGCCCAAAAGUCUCCAUCGCCACCAGGGACAGCAGUCUUACCAUUACCGAUGGUUGCCAACACUGGCGAUGUGGUGCUGACUGUUGAGUAAGAGCACCAAAGCGGCGUGCUGCGAACACCUGCAGCACCUAUGCCGUAGACUGCCAUGUGACAGACAAAAUUCCAGUGUACAUUUCUCAGUAUCAAAAUUCCAGUGCUGCUUCUUCUAAAUCAAAAUUCCAGUGAAGUGUUACAUGCAGGAGUUUGCUGCAAUAAGCAGAAGAAGUCAUGUG